ACGAACGCUGGCGGCGUGGAUAAGACAUGCAAGUCGAACGGGAGAAUUGCUAGCUUGCUAAUAAUUCUCUAGUGGCGCACGGGUGAGUAACACGUGAGUAACCUGCCUCUUAGUGGGGGAUAGCCCUGGGAAACCGGGAUUAAUACCGCAUACGAUUGAAAGAUCAAAGCAGCAAUGCGCUAGGAGAUGGGCUCGCGGCCUAUUAGUUAGUUGGUGAGGUAACGGCUCACCAAGGCGAUGACGGGUAGCCGGUCUGAGAGGAUGUCCGGCCACACUGGAACUGAGACACGGUCCAGACACCUACGGGUGGCAGCAGUCGAGAAUCAUUCACAAUGGGGGCAACCCUGAUGGUGCGACGCCGCGUGGGGGAAUGAAGGUCUUCGGAUUGUAAACCCCUGUCAUGUGGGAGCAAAUUAAAAAGAUAGUACCACAAGAGGAAGAGACGGCUAACUCUGUGCCAGCAGCCGCGGUAAUACAGAGGUCUCAAGCGUUGUUCGGAAUCACUGGGCGUAAAGCGUGCGUAGGCUGUUUCGUAAGUCGUGUGUGAAAGGCAGGGGCUCAACCCCUGGAUUGCACAUGAUACUGCGAGACUAGAGUAAUGGAGGGGGAACCGGAAUUCUCGGUGUAGCAGUGAAAUGCGUAGAUAUCGAGAGGAACACUCGUGGCGAAGGCGGGUUCCUGGACAUUAACUGACGCUGAGGCACGAAGGCCAGGGGAGCGAAAGGGAUUAGAUACCCCUGUAGUCCUGGCAGUAAACGGUGCACGCUUGGUGUGCGGGGAAUCGACCCCCUGCGUGCCGGAGCUAACGCGUUAAGCGUGCCGCCUGGGGAGUACGGUCGCAAGAUUAAAACUCAAAGAAAUUGACGGGGACCCGCACAAGCGGUGGAGUAUGUGGCUUAAUUCGAUGCAACGCGAAGAACCUUACUUGGGCUUGACAUGUAAUGAACAACAUGUGAAAGCAUGCGACUCUUCGGAGGCGUUACACAGGUGCUGCAUGGCCGUCGUCAGCUCGUGUCGUGAGAUGUUUGGUUAAGUCCAGCAACGAGCGCAACCCCUGUUGCCAGUUACCAGCACGUCAAGGUGGGGACUCUGGCGAGACUGCCCAGAUCAACUGGGAGGAAGGUGGGGACGACGUCAGGUCAGUAUGGCCCUUAUGCCCAGGGCUGCACACGUACUACAAUGCCCAGUACAGAGGGGGCCGAAGCCGCGAGGCGGAGGAAAUCCUGAAAACUGGGCCCAGUUCGGACUGUAGGCUGCAACCCGCCUACACGAAGCCGGAAUCGCUAGUAAUGGCGCAUCAGCUACGGCGCCGUGAAUACGUUCCCGGGUCUUGUACACACCGCCCGUCACAUCAUGGAAGCCGGUCGCACCCGAAGUAUCUGAAGCCAACCGCAAGGAGGCAGGGUCCUAAGGUGAGACUGGUAACUGGGAUG
rnacentral:rRNA from 1 species